AUGGGGGAUCUGAAGCAUGCAUUCCUGGAAGGAGUUGAGGGGAAGCUCAGGAACCUGCAGCUCUCCGAAGCCGAAAAGAAAGGAAUCAGGAUUGGAAGAAAGCAGGCGUGCUCCUCGCAGGUGAGCAAGCUUCAGGCAGUAGGCAAACUUUUUUCAGAGAGACUAGCUAGAGCAGAACAUGUGGGAAAAUCGCUGGGAGCUGCGUGGAGCCCUUUCUUUGGUGUAGAAUGCAGUAAUCUUGGCAGGAACAGAUUUCUAUUUACUUUUCACCAAAAGGCUGAUAAGGAGAAGGCUCUAGAUGCUGGACCAUGGAGUUUUAACAAUGAUUUAUUGGUGAUGGAAGAUUUUGUGCCUAGUAAAACCAUAGACGAUUACGAAUUCAGGACAAUUCCUAUAUGGGCUAGAGCUUAUGGUAUCCCGAUAGGGAUGAUGAGUAGAGAAACAGCAGAAUUG
rnacentral:rRNA from 1 species